UAAUUUGUUAGCCGUCAAUACCGAGAAAGAAAUGAAAUAAGCUACAUCCCUGUGGCCAAUUCUGAGGUUUGGGACUCGGUUGAAAAUUCAGAUACAGAGAAGAGAACUUUGAGCGGGGAAAUGAAGUUGAUUAGUAUUCAUCAUGAGUGAUCGAGCGAGUGGUAGAUUGAUUAGGGUUAGCCUAGAUGGAUGUGUAUUCAUGGUUCCGACGAAGCCUUUCUAGAACUACAAAGACCACUACCACAACUGUCACUGCUCAACCGGACGACGAACUACUCUACGGCGUCAGUGAUCAAUUAGUCGAUUUUAUCAAAUCCUUCUCCAUUGACACCUUUCGAAACUUCUCUCUCCCAAAUGAGGACGAUGGAGAUACUCCCGAGAAUGUACGGAGAGAUCUAUCUGAUUGGCAACAACGUCAUGCUUUGCUUGUUCUCUCCAAACUCAAGGAACUCUCACAAUUGAGGUUCAAAUUAUGUCCGCGUUUUUUAAAGGAUCACCAAUUUUGGACAAUAUAUUUUGCUCUCGUUAAGGAUUUUGUUGCCAAAUAUGAGCUACGUGCUAUACAAUUAGAUAAGCUCAAACAGAUGAGAUUGGAAAGUGAAAAUUCACCAGAUGUUGCUGCAUGCGAAGUUGAGAUGUCUGAAGCAAAGAGAACAACGGAUGUAUCACCUACAAUUUCUGAGGAUCACAAUUAGUAUCUCCUUUGGAUAUGUCACUAGUUAUCAGGCUCAUAGGGUACCUUAAACCCCAAGCCAAGUUCAAAUCCUUUCUACUAGUUAUGUUUUUCGCAAGAGUUCAUGCAAGGGUCAGCUUCAAACGACCAUGUCUCUCAACAAAUAAAGAGUUAGAUGAGCCAUGACUUGUCAAAUUAAAGACGCUAUAUUGUGUGCACGAGCAGCGCGUCGACUGCAUGUUGGCGCACUGAGGCAACGACUACUACCUUGCUGCACGCUGGUUGCGCACCCAAGACUUUAUCCGCACAACAGCGCACGUGAAAAAUUAGUGCAAUCUCUAGGAAAACAGAAAGAAAGAAGCAAUGUAGGAAAUACAGUUGGAAAACGGAAAGUGAAACAGAAUAUCUGAGAUUUGCAAGGGAAGAUAUUCAAAAAUGGGAAGUUUUAUGUGUCAAAACAGCCUUCUUUACUAACAGCCAUGACAAGCAUGCCACCUUCAGAGAUGGUGCAGACUUAUCUGCCGCAUGGCUGGACAAUCGGUGCAAGUUACAAGGUGAUUUAUAGUUCUGUGAAUGCAUAGAAGAUCAGAUCUCAUAGGAUUAAUCUUAGGUUGGUUAAAUACAUUUUCAUGUUGAUCAAGUAUAAGCUUAUCUUAAUGUUACUACUUGGAGCACCACUCUUCCUGUCUGACCUUAAUUUAUUAAUGGUACUAGCUUGAUAAUCUCAAAUGUUGGGAGAUUAUGUGUCAAAUGAAUGUCUCUUACCUUGCUGUGUUGAA